rnacentral:rRNA from 1 species
GAUGAACGCUGGCGGCGUGCCUAAUACAUGCAAGUCGAGCGAACAGACGAGGAGCUUGCUCCUCUGACGUUAGCGGCGGACGGGUGAGUAACACGUGGAUAACCUACCUAUAAGACUGGGAUAACUUCGGGAAACCGGAGCUAAUACCGGAUAAUAUAUUGAACCGCAUGGUUCAAUAGUGAAAGACGGUUUUGCUGUCACUUAUAGAUGGAUCCGCGCCGCAUUAGCUAGUUGGUAAGGUAACGGCUUACCAAGGCAACGAUGCGUAGCCGACCUGAGAGGGUGAUCGGCAACACUGGAACUGAGACAGGGUCAAGACUACUACGGGAGGCAGCAGUAGGGAAUCUUCCGCAAUGGGAGAAAGCCUGACGGAGCAACGCCGCGUGAGUGAUGAAGGUCUUCGGAGCGUAAAACUCUGUUAUUAGGGAAGAACAAAUGUGUAAGUAACUAUGCACGUCUUGACGGUACCUAAUCAGAAAGCCACGGCUAACUACGUG